AUCCAACAUACGAGUCCUAAAUAAAGCGAAACGCGCGUCCUGGAU
rnacentral:hammerhead_ribozyme from 1 species